CCAAUGGAUGAUGAGGAGUUGAUGGGCCACAUCCUCACCAGGCUGGAUUCCGACCACAAUCAGGUGGUGUCCGCCAUCAUAACACGCUAACGUUCUCACGGUGUAAAAGUCUACACGUAGCUCCUCACCUUUGAGC
rnacentral:snoRNA from 1 species